CCUACGGGAGGCGCCGGUGGGGAAUUUUGGGCGAUGGAGGCAACCGUGAUCCUCCCUCUCCCCGUGAGUGAAAAAUGACUUCCGGUUGUAAAGCUCUUUCAGCUGGAGUGAAACGGUUCGCUCUAACAUAGCGAGCGGAUGACGGUACCACCAGAUGAAGCACCGGCUAAAUAGCUGCCACCAGCCGCAGUAAU
rnacentral:rRNA from 1 species